GGCGGCGUGCUUAACACAUGCAAGUCGAACGGUGAAGCCCUUCGGGGUGGAUCAGUGGCGAACGGGUGAGUAACACGUGAGUAAUCUGCCUCUGACUCUGGGAUAACCACGGGAAACGGUGGCUAAUACCGGAUAUGACGUAUGGCCGAGUGGUCUGUGCGUGGAAAGUUUUUCGGUCAGAGAUGAGCUCGCGGCCUAUCAGCUUGUUGGUGGGGUAAUGGCCUACCAAGGCGACGACGGGUAGCCGGCCUGAGAGGGCGACCGGCCACACUGGGACUGAGACACGGCCCAGACUCCUACGGGAGGCAGCAGUGGGGAAUAUUGCGCAAUGGGCGAAAGCCUGACGCAGCGACGCCGCGUGAGGGAUGAAGGCCUUCGGGUCGUAAACCUCUUUCAGCAGGGAAGAAGCGAGAGUGACGGUACCUGCAGAAGAAGCACCGGCUAACUACGUGCCAGCAGCCGCGGUAAUACGUAGGGUGCAAGCGUUGUCCGGAAUUAUUGGGCGUAAAGAGCUCGUAGGCGGUCUGUCGCGUCUGCUGUGAAAACCUAGGGCUUAACUCUGGGCGUGCAGUGGAUACGGGCAGGCUAGAGUGCGGUAGGGGAGACUGGAAUUCCUGGUGUAGCGGUGAAAUGCGCAGAUAUCAGGAGGAACACCGGUGGCGAAGGCGGGUCUCUGGGCCGUAACUGACGCUGAGGAGCGAAAGCAUGGGGAGCGAACAGGAUUAGAUACCCUGGUAGUCCAUGCCGUAAACGUUGGGCGCUAGGUGUGGGGCUCAUUCCACGAGUUCUGCGCCGCAGCUAACGCAUUAAGCGCCCCGCCUGGGGAGUACGGCCGC
rnacentral:rRNA from 2 species